AGUAUCACGAAUAAAGCAACGUCGUCCCUUCCCAACACUGGAAACUUUUUUCUCAUACUUAUCUUCAGCACCGUGUGUACAUUACAAAGAAGAGCAUCCCUUGACUUGACUGCUUCUCCAUUGUAUUACUUUGAGAGGAACGUGUUCCCACGAUUUCAAUCAUCGUCCUAGACUUAAGCUUCACGUCCGGGCGUGGUAGCAGCGAGGUAAUUGAGACAAUGAGCUAGCCAUCAUUCUACAACCGUGGUGGUGCCGACCUGCUCGGAGGGCCUCAGACUAGCUCACUGGCAGACUCCUGUUUUUGCUGUAUGUUCGUCGAUAGCCUUAUUUCAUCCCCAUAUUUGGAUCGCGUGAUUGAAGAGUGGAUUCAUUGAGCGAGGUCUUAGGUAUUGAUGAUCGAUCGACCUGUUUCGACUUUCGAGUACCUAGCUUUUGCUUCGGCCGGUUGCGUUCUUUAUGAGCGCCGGGUAGGGAGCCUGCGGCAAAGACUGUUCACACGAGAUUGUCUGGGAUGGCGAUGCACGGGCUUCACCACACUUCCUUCUAGCUUGUUUUUAAGCUUCUCUCUCUGUUUCUUGGUAAGCACAAAUCCAAGCAAAUUCUGUUGUGCGGUACUCUGUGAUUUUGGCCCUCUGUUGACAGAAAUCUAACUACUAUGUGAUUUUACCCCCUUGUCGGUGUCCGGACCUCGCGGUCUAGCACCAACUACUGAAUAUGCUGCGUGUCCCGAUCUCCAGAUGGUUGAUGCAAGAAAAAACACAAUAACACCGGAUUUAUCCUGGUUCCGGCCGAUGAGGCCGUCCGUCCAGCAGAGGAGUGUGCACUGUAUUACUUGCACUGUAGUGCUUGUAGUAGGGGGUACAAACUGAGGCGAGAGAGGGAGAGAAGCUCCCAGGUCUCAAGAGGCACUAGGAGUGAUUGAGGCGAGUGGCAAUAUCGGUGGAGUGAGUAUGUGUGUUCUCGUGAUUGUCCCCUUCUUCCAUGCAGGUCCUCCUCCUUUUAUAGAUCAAGGAGGAAGAAGUUACACGCGUAGGAGGUCUACGGGGUCAUCUUUCUCCCCAAUCCGGGGAAGAACAGUUGUCAUCUCCUAUCGUAGAGCAUGACGUCCGGUGUGGUCAUCGUCCUUGCGAAUCCUUGCGCCCAUGCCCGAAGCGCGUUCUUAUCCUGUGGCGCCAGCCGACGGCGUGGCGAUAGCUGUAGAAGUACGCAGAGCCCUACGUUGGAUGAGGUGGGGGCGUCGAGGGUGUUGUAGACUCUGGUCUUUCCCUGGUCAAAGGCCGUACUGUGUCCGAGGGUCGCUGCCCACGCCCGCCGAGGGUCCUGCAGAGGGGAAAAGGUACAAGGGGUAGGCAGCACAGUGACGGACGGUGACAGGCAAGUCCGCACUGUGCGCCUCAGACCUGCCCCGCGCCGGGAAUAGCAGCACAGUGGCGGGCGCAGGUUGAGAAGACGCUAGUCAUGUCCGCUGUGUGGCAUGGUGGCCGACGCCAGCUGACGCUGCCCGACACCAUCUGACACCCGCUCCACGCCGCGGAGUGGUUGGCAGGUAAGUGCGCCCCGUCCCGUCGGGUGGUUGGGCCACCGCUCUAGUCCGCGGAGAUUUCUCUUGCGCCGAGGCCCCGUAGAGGGCUCGGCUGUGGGAGCCUCGAGCGAGGCGGAGUCCGUCCUCGCAUCGAAGGGCCCCGACGGGCGACCCUCGAGCGAGUCGGAGAUUGCCUUUGCUUCGAGGGUCCUCGGCAGGGAGCCCUCGAGCGAGGCGGAGAUUUCUUCCACGGUCAGCGAGGCCUUAGGGGGGCCGUAUCGCGAUGCCGGGCCGUGGGUCGAGUAUGACUUGGGCUUUCCAUACCUGAAGGGGCUUCGGGCGUCCGAGUUUGGGAAGGAUCCAGCCUGGGUGCCGAAUCCUGUUUUGCGCGUGUUGAGGGUGUUUUAGCCCUGGAUUAGGGUGCCCCAUAGUUAUGGUACCCGACACCCCUCUUUUGACAUCGGAUGUUGUACAGUAAUUUGAUAGAUAGAAAAAUAUUUUGACAACAAACAUAGAGAAAAUUUGCAUGAUCCUUUCAAUCCAACCAACCUUUUGACAAUUUUUUUCAUAAAACUUUGGCAGCAUGAUGACACAUCUUGCAUAAAUAUUCAAGCAAACAUUACAUAGCAAGCGUCAGAUACCGACAUGUCCAGACACACAUGCACAAAUUCACAGCACAUAGGUACAAAUUAAAUUUAGUUCCUCUCCAGCAGCAAUUCUGACCUAGAGUAGAGAAAAUGUCCUGUACAAUCUGGUGCUAGCAAGAUCUCUAGAGUGCACAUGCACAUCCAUGAGCAAGCAAUUCGACAUCCACAUUUACACUGAGCGUCCAGGCCAUGAUCUACAAAUUUUGCUAAUUCAUGAUCUUGGCCAAAUUCAGAUAUUGAAUUAGUUCAUCUUGUGCCCACGUCUGAUGAAAACAACAGAAACCCAGCUAAACUCAAUCGAUUUGCUCCAAGGAAGGAAAAACACAAAACAGGUAGGAAUUAAAUCUUUCAUGGACUAAUCCAAACCAUCAUAAUCAUCCUCAUCAAAUUCCAGAAAUCCUUCGGGAGACGCGAGAACAUGCUGGCAACGUCUCAAUUUUUGCUUUUUCACAUCUGUCUAUUAGUUGCAGGUCUUGUUUUCCCAGCACAUUUCAGAAACUCUAAAUGGAUGUUGCACAUCAACUUGUGCACGGAAGCGAGAACAAGAAUGUGCCUGAGAAGGCAAGGGGUAAAAGUACCGGAGAGCCGCAGGUACGAAGCGGAAUGCCGAUUUUUGUGCCACGUGAAGAACGUAAUGCAAGACCACGGAACAGUCCUGGUCGCCCUGCUUUUCCAGCUUCACUUGCAUACCCCGACCGGCUGUGUGAGCCGGCGCAUGCCGCCGCUGUAUCUAUGGCUGCACCUGGUAAAGAAGGUAUGGCAACAUAUUUCCGGAUAUAUAUUGUAUGUGCAACCCAUAGAGUUAAUAGUAUAUAUAAAUAAAUGGAUGCCUAACUAAUGCAUGAGUAACAGACUGGGCCCUUCGUCGUGGCGACUCGCCUGGCUUUCAGAUUUUAGUGCCACGGCCACGUCCAGAACAUGAUGCAAGGCCGCCAGGCCGCCCCGCUAUUCCUUCUGCGGUUGCAGCUCCACCUGCAUACCCCGGCGGCCCAGCUCAGAGGCCGACGCCGACGACGACACCAGUGGCCAGUGGUGUCGGCGCCAGCAGCAAAGGCGCCACGACGGACAGCGAGGAGGAGGAUCAGCCGCCUGCUGGAGCGGUAGCAAAAGGGGAGGGAGAGGCCAACGCGGCCGCAGGUCAUCGGAGCCCGCCGCCGGGUGGUGCCGCUGGAGGAAACGGUGGUAGCGCCGCACCACCAGCAGCGCUCGAGAAUCUGCCAUCCGUAGUGGCAAGACAGGCCAUCCCCAACACUCCUGCAGUGGAUGCAAGGCCUAGCCCACCAGCGGCCGCACGGCCACCGCCAAGCACAUCAGCGGCAAGGGAUAAUGAUCGGCGCAAGGAAACGACUUUCUGCGAGCGCCUGCUUUCUUGCUUCAACCGUUGCUCCUAAUUGACGUGGGACGACCUGAAAUCCGGAAGCCUGCAAAAAGGGUUUUGGAUCAGGACCUUAAUUACGACUUAAUAUUGUACCAAAAUAUUUUGUAUAUAGCCGCUGACACUUGCUGGGUUUUGUUAGAUCGACUAUUCCUUGGAUUGGACACGAACAUGAUAGUUUGAUUUCCUAAA